UAAGUGAUUCAGUUUUUCUUAGAAUUAAUUUUAUAUAAAAGGUGGGUGGUUUUUUUUUAAGAGAGAAGAGACAGUUCUAUAGAAAUUCUAGAGAUUUUAUGAGUUGUGCAAGAAUGGACUCCUCCAGAUGACAGCAUGCAUGGGAAUGUAAUCUUCCUGUGGAUGAUCCUAAAGCACUGAAAUCAAUCUACCUCUUGUCAGAAAUUUUGUUAAAGGUUAAUGGGACAGUUUUAUUAUGUUCCAGAGUCAAAUUCCUCUUAUGAAACGUUUAUCAGACUUUUCUGUUUUCAUAAGAAAGCUAUGAUCACAAAAAAAUAGCAGGCUAUGCAACUGUGAUUUGAGUAAAGACCUCUCCGAUAAAGAUCUCUUUAAACCUUUCUGUUUACAAGGUAGUCACCGUUGGCUCAGAAUGAAUUCCCUGUGCUGCAGAGUUAGUGAGGAGAUGGAUGGCUCUCUGGCUCCUGGGAUCCUUUACACUGUGGUUUGUGUGCUUCCCAUGAACCCCCUCCUCAGGCUGCUAUCCCACUAGGUUGACAUCCAGUUAUGCCAGCACCAUUUGUUGAAGAUGCCCUCUU